rnacentral:rRNA from 1 species
UACGGGGGGAGCAAGCGUUGUUCGGAUUUACUGGGCGUAAAGGGCGCGUAGGCGGUCAGCACAAGUCAGUUGUGAAAUCUCCGGGCUUAACUCGGAAAGGUCAACUGAUACUGUGCGACUAGAGUGCAGAAGGGGCAACUGGAAUUCUCGGUGUAGCGGUGAAAUGCGUAGAUAUCGGGAGGAACACCAGUGGCGAAGGCGGCUUUCUGGCCUGUUCUUGACGCUGAGGCGCGAAAGCUAGGGGAGCAAACGGG